rnacentral:rRNA from 1 species
AUGCCUAAUACAUGCAAGUCGAACGAGAUCUUCGGAUCUAGUGGCGCACGGGUGCGUAACGCGUGGGAAUCUGCCCUUGGGUUCGGAAUAACGUCGGGAAACUGACGCUAAUACCGGAUGAUGACGAAAGUCCAAAGAUUUAUCGCCCAGGGAUGAGCCCGCGUAGGAUUAGCUAGUUGGUGGGGUAAAGGCUCACCAAGGCUACGAUCCUUAGCUGGUCUGAGAGGAUGAUCAGCCACACUGGGACUGAGACACGGCCCAGACUCCUACGGGAGGCAGCAGUAGGGAAUAUUGGACAAUGGGGGCAACCCUGAUCCAGCAAUGCCGCGUGAGUGAUGAAGGCCUUAGGGUUGUAAAGCUCUUUUACCCGAGAUGAUAAUGACAGUAUCGGGAGAAUAAGCUCCGGCUAACUCCGUGCCAGCAGCCGCGGUAAUACGGAGGGAGCUAGCGUUGUUCGGAAUUACUGGGCGUAAAGCGCACGUAGGCGGCGAUUUAAGUCAGAGGUGAAAGCCCGGGGCUCAACCCCGGAACUGCCUUUGAGACUGGAUUGCUAGAAUCUUGGAGAGGCGGGUGGAAUUCCGAGUGUAGAGGUGAAAUUCGUAGAUAUUCGGAAGAACACCAGUGGCGAAGGCGGCCCGCUGGACAAGUAUUGACGCUGAGGUGCGAAAGCGUGGGGAGCAAACAGG